UACGAAGGGGGCGAGCGUUGUUCGGAAUUACUGGGCGUAAAGGGCGCGCAGGCGGCCCUUGAAGUCAGGCGUGAAAGCCCCGGGCUCAACCUGGGAGGUGCGCUUGAUACUCGAGGGCUUGAGUGGACGGGAGAGGAGAGUGGAAUUCCCAGUGUAGAGGUGAAAUUCGUAGAUAUUGGGAAGAACACCGGUGGCGAAGGCGGCUACUCUGGACCGUAACUGACGCUGACGGCGCGAAAGCGUGGGGAGCAAACAGG
rnacentral:rRNA from 1 species